rnacentral:rRNA from 1 species
UACGUAGGGUGCAAGCGGUAAUCGGAAUUACUGGGCGUAAAGCGUGCGCAGGCGGUGAUGUAAGACAGGUGUGAAAUCCCAGGGCUCAACCUUGGAACUGCAUUUGUGACUGCAUUGCUGGAGUGCGGCAGAGGGGGAUGGAAUUCCGCGUGUAGCAGUGAAAUGCGUAGAUAUGCGGAGGAACACCGAUGGCGAAGGCAAUCCCCUGGGCCUGCACUGACGCUCAUGCACGAAAGCGUGGGGAGCAAACAGG